CCUACGGGUGGCAGCAGUGAGGAAUAUUGGUCAAUGGGCGCAAGCCUGAACCAGCCAAGUCGCGUGAAGGAUGAAUGCCCUACGGGUUGUAAACCUCUUUUGUCAAGGAAUAAAGUGGGGCACGUGUGCCUUUUUGGAUGUACUUUGUAGAUAAGGAACGGCUAAAUCCGUGCCAACAGCCGCGGUAAUAAGGAGGAUGCGAUCGUUAUCCGGAUUUAUUGGGGUUAAAGGGUGCGCAGGCGGAACAUCAAGUCAGCGGUAAAAUUGCGGGGCUCAACCUCGUAGAGCCGUUGAAACUGGUUUUCUUGAGUGAGCGAGAAGUAUGCGGAAUGCGUGGUGUAGCGGUGAAAUGCAUAGAUAUCACGCAGAACUCCGAUUGCGAAGGCAGCAUACCGGCGCUCAACUGACGCUGAGGCACGAAAGUGCGGGUAUCGAACAGGAUUAGAUACCCUAGUAGUC
rnacentral:rRNA from 1 species